UCUUCUUCCUCCUCAAACCCUUGCAGCCAUCACCACCCAAAACCCUAGCCGCCCCCCUCCCCCUCCAAGGUGCAGCCCUCCCGUGUGGUUCUUCGUCGUGUGGCUGCGAUCUCAAUUGGAGUUUGGAAGGAGGAAGAAGGAAGGAGGAAGGGAAGAACCCAAGGUGAAUUUGUGAUUAACUUUUGAUGUUUUUGUGCUGCAAUUAAUUGGAUUAUGCGUUCAUCUUUGCGAAUCGGUAGAGGUGCUGUCCAGGAAUUUUGUGAGUGGGUGAACAGCAGUAGUUCUAGGGUUUCUGGGACUUUUCGUGGGUUAAUUAGUGGGAAUCAGUGGGAUAAUCAUGUAGAUCUUUGUCAUACCUUUCCAACGAGUACUUAUGCGCUCGAUUCGGAGUUAUAAUUUAGGAGAUAUCGUUGUUUGAAUCCGGGUAUGUGCUGUCCAAAAAACAGAUUUUUCAGGUGGGUGAACAGCAGUAGUAUUAGCAGUUUCUGGGAAUUUUUCGUGCGUAAUUAGUGAUAACCAGUAUGAUAACCAUGUAGGGCCUUGUCUUAUCUUUCCAAUGAGUACUUAUGCGCUUGAUUUGGAAUUAUAUUUUAAAAGUUAUCGCUGUUUGAAUCCGUGUAUGUUGCUGUCCAAAAGAGAGAGAAAACAGAUUACAGGGUUUAUCUUGUGGACUGUUUUGGGCUAAUUAGAUGUUGGAAUUUAAUUAUAAAUUGUAUACAAAACUUGUGGGGAAUUUUAUGUAGAUGCCUCUAGAAUUUUUGUUUGUUACCACUGCUGUCCUAAUUUUAAAGUUAUGAAAUUAUUAAGCAGCGCCGCUGCAGUUUGGUGGGUGUGGGGAGAGAUGUUACCCGCGACGGGGUUUGAGAUUGUGCGUAGGUGCGGCGUCGUUUAUGAGCCUGAUUGUGUGAAAUUGGUGCACUAAGUUGUGUGUCAAAAACAGGUGGUGGACUUCCGGAUCGUACUUAGGAAUUUGCCCAAACAUCCGGUGAAGGCAAGUAAAACAGUGAUGGUUAUUCCGUCUGUUGAUUGAAGAGUCUUAUACUUGAUUAUGUUUGUGCUAUUUGUGUUCGUAUUCAUAUUCCUAAUUGGGUACCGUCGUUUGAAGUUAUUCAUGUUUAUUUAUUAUACAUGUGGAGGUUGUGGUUUGGUCAUGUUACCCAUGUGGUUUAUUAUGUGAAAUGGGUGGAAGUAUAUGUCUAGCACAUUUUAUUUGGGAAGAACUCAUGUUGUUGACAUGCAUAAUGCAUUCAUCAUCCAUUGCAUUGAAGUUUCAUCGCGAUCUUAUGGUCUGACCGUACCGGUACAAUGAGCAUCAUAUGUUGCCCGAGAAUGGGUAUGAUGCAGCUUCAUAUCCUUAGAGGUAUGAAGGCAGAAGUCAUAUUGCAUCUGUAGCCAUGUGCAUUCAUGGGGGAAGUGUGGAACCUAUUAUGGUGAUGUGAAUGAUGUGGUUCUUUACUUUGUGAUUCAUCUUGGCAUUAAGUAAUAGAUUACUUGCUUACUUCCUGCAAUUUAAUAUUUAAGAAAGAAGUUGUGAACCACGUGGUUGCUUAUGCACAGUUGGUUUACAUUGUCCAACUGGUGUUUGCUCUUUUUACUUGCUGACAUGUGUCAUCUCACUCUUGCAUUGUCUGAUGCAGGCACCUGAUCUUUGCUUUGGGAAAGAAGGGAUGUAGCAGCAUGGCCACCACACCUUUAAAUAAAGGAACCACUGCUUAAUAAUGAUGUUAAACAGGGAGGGUCAAGUCUAGGGGAUUAUUACAUUCUAAUCUUUCAUGGUAGUUGAACUAUUUAGUUUGGUGGGCUGAGUUGUCUAUCUUUUGUCUGGUCAUGAAUGUUCAUUUCUAC
rnacentral:lncRNA from 1 species